AAUAAUUUUGGUCUCAGUCAAAUUUCUUGUGGUAUGUUUGUUGAUAUUUUAUUUUCUUCUUUGGUCAAAGAUUGUUGAUAAUUUCUUUCUUAAAAAUAAUAAAACCAAAUCCAUAUAUUAAGAAUAUAUAUAAUUUAUAUAUUACAGGAAAGAAAUUGUAAAUAAUCUUAUACAAUAUGUAAUUUUGUACCCAUAUAGGAAUUUUGACUACGAGAUGGGACAAAAACAAUUCGACUACAUAUCCUACAUUCCAUAAAGGUUAAUAAAAUUAUAAUAAAAAAUUAAUACUUACAUUUCAAAUCAUCUAUACUUAAAUAUAUAAGAUAUGAUAUCAAAAAUGUCUAAUUAAAACUUAAUAAUUAUUUUCAAAGAUAUCUUACCCAAAUAUAACGUUUUUAGCAAAUAUGAAAAUUUUGUUAUGGUAAGAAAAUAAAAUGAAAAUGCAGAAUAUAUUGAGAUUAUUUUGGAUUGAUGUGUUUAAUUCUAUGACCAAUAGUCCUAUAAAUUGAUCUUAAAUUUGCAAACCAAUUGUGUAUUCUUCACUAGACGAAAAAAUGAGUUUCACAAAGACCUUUGUAACCUGCUUUUUUGCAGCUAUAUUUGUUAUUUCGGUGUCCAUCCAACCCCAUAUGGCUUCCCAUAGCACAAAGAAAUAUGAUCCGGUUGUUGUUACAUGCUUAAGUACUGUAUGUACGAGUACAUAUACAUCAAGAGAAUGUGAGGGUUAUUGCAUAUCAAAGGGGUACAAUAAUGGAGAAUGCCGUGCUUUGGAUCUUCAGAAACCUGUAGGGCCUGACCAUUGUUGUUGUUAUUAUGAAAAGCGUUGAUCAGCUAAAUUCCUUAUCUUGAGAAGUAUGUGAUUUCGCAUAACAAAAUAUCAUCAAAUAAAUUUCAUUUGAUCAGA